ACGGCGUGUAGGAACCAGUCAAGGCAUAAAUAAGUCUUGAAUGGGCCGAAAAUCGCCAAAAAUAUUGUAAGAGUUAUGGUCGCAUUGAAUGAAAAUAUUUAAAAUUCAGUGCAUUUACCCAACUCUUAUACAAAA
rnacentral:snoRNA from 1 species